AUUAGUUUUUUAAUUGAAGGCUAGAAUGAAUGGUUGGACAAGAAAUAAUCUGUCUUAAAUUAAUAUAUUGAAUUUAACUUUUAAGUGAAAAGGCUUAAAUAAUUUGAAGGGACGAUAAGACCCUAUAAAACUUUAUAUUUGUAAGGUAGUAGUAAAUUUUAUUUUAAUUUAUUAUUUUAAAGUAUUUGGUUGGGGUGACAAGGAUAAAAUAUAAAAUAACUGUCUUUUUUUUUUACAGUAAUGUUUGAUUUAAUGAUCCUAAAAAGGAUUAAAGAUUAAGUUACUUUAGGGAUAACAGCGUAAUUUUCUUUAAGAGUUCUUAUCGACAAGAAAGUUUGCGACCUCGAUGUUGAAUUAAAAGUUCUUUAUAGAGUAGAGACUAUAAGAGAAGGUCUGUUCGACCUUUAAAAUUUACAUGAUUUGAGUUCAGACCGGUGUGAG
rnacentral:rRNA from 1 species